AGCAGUGCGAUUGUGUAAGGUUUAGACCAUCAUGAUUAUUCAAAACGAUUGGUCAUAUGAUCGCUAACGUCAAUUCGAAUUGUGUAAAAAUGGCCAUCAAAUGAAGACCGAAAAGUGACCGGUGGCUUAAAAACGUAUCAUAGAAUUGCGUUUUAUUAUACCAAUAGCAUUUUUAAAACUCAAUUUUUAUGUUGAUAUGAAUUAAGAUGUAUAUAAAAACAAUGCAACUUUUUAGGCUAACUUAUGAUAUUUUAUCAUAAAAAUUUACUUUCAUAGCUUAUAACAUUGAAUUCUAACGUUAUUAUCAGUUAUGCAAAAUCAAUAACUAAACGCAAAGAAUGAACAAUACUCGAGCUUACUGCUUCUCAACAAUAGAUGGCGUUAGUGGACCUAUAUUUUCCUAUGUUUUUCUAUAUUGUCUAGGGUUAAAUCGAUGUCAGUGUCGCUGUAAGUGACAACUGACAAGUUACGAAAUAAAAAUAACAAUACCUAAUUACCUAAUUAUCCAAAUAAAAGUGAUUAAAAGCUAGGUAUACAAAUAACAAAAUUCUUUCUGGCGCUCAACUAUUAGUAUCGACCAUUUUUUCGCUUGUCUCCAUUCCACUCGUCACUGAAGAAGUCUCUGGUAGACCCUAUUGGCAUGAGGUUUGCCUUGGCCAGCCAGCACGUCAGCAAGUAUAGGAGAUGAACCCACAAAGGUCAAAGACGGCACAAGGGUGGAAAGCCGUGAACAUUAACAGUGGAGCGUUUGCUAUGUGAAAUUGACAAGAACAAACAACCCAAGCACAAUAACACAAAGGAGGAGCAGCACCUUGAAAUCGAUAAAGGUCGAGUGCACCUGCUUGGAAGUGGAGAUUGCAGAACAGGCGAUGCAGAAAUUGCGAAAAUAUUAUCCUUAACCUUAAAACCCUACUUGGUGUAAUAAAACACCCCAGAGUGUUAAGUUUUCUCAUAUUAAGACAUUAGCAUAUAAGAACUAACUAGGUAAAUAAAUAAUUUAAUAAUUCCUAUGUUCAUAAGUAAUCUUUGAUUAAGAGCGAUGAUAGCCUAGUCCUUAAGACUUCUUCCCCAAGGUUGGGUGUGUGAUCCCGGCCUUUUACUGUAGUUAUGUGAGUUUUAGGCAAUUGAAUAUAUCAUUUGCUUUAACGGUGAAGGUAAACAACCUGCAUGGCUGAGAGUUCUUUGUAAUGUUCUCAAAGGUGUGUAGAGUCUGCAAAUCCGCACUUGGCCAGCAUGGUGGAUUAUGGCCUUCUCCUUCUAAUAGGAAAGCUGUGCUUGGUAAUAAACCGGUCAUGGGUUGGUGAUGAUGAAAAUGUAAUUUUUUAUUAUGAUGUUUAGGUGAGACAUAAUGCUAGUUCUUAAUACAAAGUUGGCUGCGUAUAUUUAGCAUUUUAGCAUAUUAUAAAUAUUUAUUAGGUAAAAUAUUUCAAUGUUCCUAUGGUCAUAAGUAAACAGUAAAAUAUGUUAAACACAACUAAAGCCAGACUACUAGGUACCUAGUAGUCCCAGUUCAGUUCUCCCAGUGCAGUUCUCACAACCCCUAGCUACCUAGUGGUGGUGAGAACUGCAUAUAGAUAGCAUCUGCCUAGUAAGUAGACCAUUCCUAAUCAUCUGUCACUUAGUAUAUUAUAGUAUGGCUUUUUAGUUAUUAGUGUACACUGUAUUUUUAUUAUUUUGUAAUAUUGUAUAAUAAUAUGUUAAGCCUUUAUUCACUGAAUUCCAUUGAAUUAAAUUACGUUAAUGCUGUGUAUAUUAUAAUAUAUUUGUUGACAGUG